ensembl:miRNA
CCCGGAGCCAGAGGACCCGUAGCUGCUAGAAGGGCAGGGGUGUGGCUUCUGGGGGCUGGUCUUCAGCUCUGGCG